rnacentral:rRNA from 1 species
GUGGGGAAUAUUGGACAAUGGGCGAAAGCCUGAUCCAGCCAUGCCGCGUGUGUGAAGAAGGUUUUCGGAUCGUAAAACUCUGUUGUUAGAGAAGAACAAGGAUGAGAGUAACUGCUCAUCCCCUGACGGUAUCUAACCAGAAAGCCACGGCUAACUACGUGCCAGCAGCCGCGGUAAUACGUAGGUGGCAAGCGUUGUCCGGAUUUAUUGGGCGUAAAGCGAGCGCAGGCGGUUCUUUAAGUCUGAUGUGAAAGCCCCCGGCUCAACCGGGGAGGGUCAUUGGAAACUGGAGAACUUGAGUGCAGAAGAGGAGAGUGGAAUUCCACGUGUAGCGGUGAAAUGCGUAGAUAUGUGGAGGAACACCAGUGGCGAAGGCGACUCUCUGGUCUGUAACUGACGCUGAGGCUCGAAAGCGUGGGGAGCAAACAGGAUUAGAAACCCUGGUAGUCC